UGGGGAAUAUUGCACAAUGGGGGAGACCCUGAUGCAGCCAUGCCGCGUGUGUGAAGAAGGCCUUCUGGUUGUAAAGCACUUUCAGCAGUGAGGAAGGUAGUGUACUUAAUACGUGCAUUGCUUGACGUUAGCUGCAGAAGAAGCACCGGCUAACUCCGUGCCAGCAGCCGCGGUAAUACGGAGGGUGCGAGCGUUAAUCGGAAUUACUGGGCGUAAAGCGCAUGCAGGCGGUUUGUUAAGUCAGAUGUGAAAGCCCGGGGCUCAACCUCGGAACCGCAUUUGAAACUGGCAGGCUAGAGUCUUGUAGAGGGGGGUAGAAUUUCAGGUGUAGCGGUGAAAUGCGUAGAGAUCUGAAGGAAUACCAGUGGCGAAGGCGGCCCCCUGGACAAAGACUGACGCUCAGAUGCGAAAGCGUGGGUAGCAAACAGG
rnacentral:rRNA from 1 species